CUCACCCUGGAGAUCGUCUACCUGCUGACCGGAGAGAAUUACUCACUGGUGAAGACUUCGUCUCUCGAGAGGGACAUUUAUCCCCCUGUGUCUAGAAAAUGGAGCAGGAACCAAAGCCCCAUCACAGCUCUUCCACCUCCCUCCCUGACACCCGAGAGGAAUGAUGACAAGAAGAUUCUAGAAGUCACCCAGAAGAUCAUUGAGCUGCUGACAGGAGAGGUUCCUAUAAGGUGU